rnacentral:misc_RNA from 1 species
UUUCUAUUACAGUAAACAAUAUCUAAGACAUUCUCUAAACAAUUACAGGAUAAGAAAUCCAGAGAAACCCAAAUAACCAAUUUUGAAGCAGGGAGCAGCCCGAGAAUUGGCAGGAAACUUAUCCAUCCCCUAAGCCUUGUUAGCAAUAUUGUUCGAGAGCCAGUCCAGUCCUUCAUAAAGCCCUUCACCUGAAGUGGCACAUGUGCUCUG